rnacentral:rRNA from 1 species
CUACGGGUCGCACCAGUGGGGAAUAUUGCACAAUGGGGGAAACCCUGAUGCAGCAACGCCGCGUGAAGGAAGAAGGCUCUUGGGUUGUAAACUUCUUUGAAUGGGGACGAAACAAAAGACGGUACCCAUAAAACAAGCCACGGCUAACUACGUGCCAGCAGCCGCGGUAAUACGUAGGUGGCAAGCGUUAUCCGGAAUUACUGGGUGUAAAGGGCGUGUAGGCGGGAGAGCAAGUCAGAUGUGAAAUGUCAAGGCUUAACCAUGGAACUGCAUCUGAAACUGUUUUUCUUGAGUACUGGAGAGGAAAGUGGGAUUCCUAGUGUAGCGGUGAAAUGCGUAGAGAUUAGGAGGAACACCAGUGGCGAAGGCGGCUUUCUGGACAGUAACUGACGCUGAGGCGCGAAAGCGUGGGGAGCAAACAGGAUUAGAUACCCUUGUAGUC